GCUUCUUUAAUAUAAAGGUUAUUAUGCUUCACUUGUAAUGAAGUUAUAUAGGUUCGAUUCCUAUAAGAAGCUCA
rnacentral:tRNA from 1 species